rfam:Cylindrobasidium torrendii FP15055 ss-10 unplaced genomic scaffold CYLTOscaffold_146, whole genome shotgun sequence.
UCCCUCUUAGCUCAGUGGUAGAGCGCGUCACUAGUAACUGUUGAGUUAUGACGAGGUCAGUCGUUCAAGUCGGCUAGAGGGAA